GACGAACGCUGGCGGCGUGCCUAACACAUGCAAGUCGAGCGAUGAAGUUUCCUUCGGGAAAUGGAUUAGCGGCGGACGGGUGAGUAACACGUGGGUAACCUGCCUUGUAGAGGGGGAUAGCCUUCCGAAAGGAAGAUUAAUACCGCAUAAGAUUGUAGUUUCGCAUGAAACAGCAAUUAAAGGAGCAAUCCGCUACAAGAUGGACCCGCGGCGCAUUAGCUAGUUGGUGAGGUAACGGCUCACCAAGGCGACGAUGCGUAGCCGACCUGAGAGGGUGAUCGGCCACAUUGGGACUGAGACACGGCCCAGACUCCUACGGGAGGCAGCAGUGGGGAAUAUUGCACAAUGGGGGAAACCCUGAUGCAGCAACGCCGCGUGAGUGAUGACGGUCUUCGGAUUGUAAAGCUCUGUCUUUGGGGACGAUAAUGACGGACCCAAGG
rnacentral:rRNA from 1 species